AUUUGUGGCCCGGUCCAGUUGGGAAUUCUUCCAACAGAUUAGAAGUGGAGACCAUAAAUCAGGAGCUGGAGGAAAACAGGAACUUUCUUGUGCUGUUGGUGAAGCUAUGACUCGAGGACAGAAGGAGAAGCAAACAUCCUUCCUGUCAGCAGGGGUAAAGCAUGAAGAAUGAGAUGAUGAGCAUCUUUUUGUGGUGGCUAAGAAUUGGACAUCAAAGGGAUGCCCAUCCAUUGGGGCUAAACAAGCUGUGGUACAUGAUGGUGAUGGAAUAUUAUUGUGCUAUAAGA